UAUAAUUCUAUCUUUCAGAAAACAGAAAGCUGAUGCUCCCAAGAAAUUCAUUCAUUUAGCUUUAUGUUUGAAAUCAAUGACAUAAGCAGCUAAUUCAUAUUCAUGUGAAGGUUGAUACAAAAUCAGUCACAAAGGAAUCUGCAGAGGGCAGAGUUGUUAAAAAGAAAUAUUACCUAUGUAGCUUUUAGUUUUUAAAAAAAUCAGUGUGAUAAAACACUGAUAAUAGAACUUAUAUAUUAAUUUAGUGAUUCAUUGUAGGAAUUCCCAUCUCAUCAUCAUCUGUGGGCUCGUGUAGUGACUAUUGUAUGUUUGGUUUAUUCCUACCAACAUUUAAUGAGAAAACAAUUCUACAGUUUUGGUCACAAUAGUAAGGUGUCACUUGGCCACACACACACACACACACACAAAAGUGCAAACUGCAAUAAGGUUCAUUGGGGAAAGUGAGAUUAAUUUGCAAAUAUAUGAGAAAGAAGUAUAAGCAUUUGUAACAAUGCAAAGGUCUCAGUAUCUGUGUGACAAGGUAAAGGAGUCUUGGGAUGUGCAUUGAUUAUUAUUUGCUUAAAAAAUGUUUAUUUCCCUGACAACUCACCUGGGUCCUUCUCUACAAUCUGUUCUUUAUUCCCGUUCUCUCCCCUCGGAUAUGUGUCACAUUUUCACAAACCAGAAGUGAAGCUGCAAGGACACAUAAAACUUUAAGGUUAAGUUUGUAUCAUUAGUCCCAGAAGAAAGCCUAUUGAAAUUCAAAGGAUAGCAUCAGCAUUAUACAAAUGAAAUGACUGACUGGAACCAAGAGAAUACACAGACAUGGAAGAGGAAAACCCCUUCUCCUGUCUCUGAUUUGAACUUGCUUUCUCAUUAAUCUCAUUAUUGACAUAGCUGACUAAUACAGGUGAAAUAUUAUUAAAUAUGUUAGAAAUCCCAUCUACAGACAGACACAUAUUCCCUGUUGCUGAAAAACUUUUCUAGCAGUACAUACAAUUUUUACCAAAAGAUGGUGAUGCAACUAGAAUCCCUAAAAGGAGAAGUUUGUCAAUGGAAGCAGAGGCUAUGCCUUGUCUUAUCAUAAAUCCUUUGCACUUUAUUGUUCUGAACAAAGAAAGUAACCAAUAAUCAAAGUUUGAUUAUCCUUAAUAAUAGAGCUUAAUCUUGUGUUCAAAGAUACCUUGGGUCUAUAAAAAGGAAUAAAAUAACGAAGCCCUUGAAAUUCCAGACAAAAUUGUUAAUGUGUGUAAAACUGUGUUCAUCUAAAUGUGAGUCUCAAAAUGUCGAUCACCUAAAAAGCUAUUGAUGUUUGGAUUUAGAAGAUAUUCUCAGAAACUGAUAUUCAGAUAAACCCACAUGUCUUGCAGGCAUUGUUUUAUAUACCACUCUCUACCUUCAUUCACAAAAACCCAGGAGAUGAUUAUUGUUCUACUAGAGACAAGUUUCCUUCCAAAAUAGCCUGAUGUUUUGGGAGACUUAGCCUAUAGUAAACAAAAAAUUUGUAUGAUGACAAAUAAUUCAUGUUCAGAUAAAAACAAUUGGCUAUCAUUGUUGUGAUAAUCUUACUCAUGUCUUUACCCAUUCUAAAAAUAGUUUGGGGUGAAUGUGAAAUUAUAUAAUUUGGCAAUGAUGACUUAUUUCAGUAAAUUUCUUCCUGAUUUGUGUUUAUUUUUACUACAAUAUAACUAAGAGUUCAACCAGUACAGUAAAAGAAAAAACAACCAUUUGACAAGUUUUUCUAAAAAAAAAAAAAAAAAGAAAAACUCACCAAGUUGUUUUAUGCAAAGAUUUAGAAGUGCUUAUAUAUUUCAUUUUCAGCAAUUAUGGUUUUGCCAGUUUCAUGACUUAUGAUGUGACUUUGGAGCAAUGUGAAAUAUUUUGAGAAUAAAGUUAGGUAGUGAUUAUUUAAAGUUUUACCUUUUACUUGCAAUUGGUAGCAAGGUGAAAUUUUAUUCUAUGUUAAUAAAUUGAUAUACUGUCACAAGGAGCUGUUAGAUAUAAUUAAAUUUAAGGAAGCAAGAGAAAAAUAUGAUGAUGAUGAUGAUGAUGAUGAGUUAAUCCUAAUCCUAAUCAAAUGUGCCUUGUCAUCAUGAAAUUUCUGUCACAUCCAUAGAAAAUGCCCAGACUAAAAAUAAUGGAGCUCAAUUCCAAUAUUCUAAUAUCAUUUCUUCCUUCCAUGCUCUGAACGUGUGUGUGUGUGUGUGUGUGUGUGUGUGUGUGUAUUUCUCUUGCGCAUUGGUAAAUUUUUUCUCUAAAUAGCCUCUGAGUCCACUGACAAACUCAUGUUUCUGAAUUCUUCAUCACAGUAAGUAAAGUACUAUUGUUUUUUCUACGAUUUAUUAUCUUCAUUGAUGCAUCCCCAUGUUACAUAAGCCUGAAGCGUAUUCUCUUUUUAACAAAGGGAAACAUUCUUAAAAAAUUAUCACACUAUGUUCUCUCCACUACUAAAUGAAUAGAAUCCGAAAAACUGCACAUGAACUUGAGAGUAUUACAUGUAAUAUUGUUGUGUAAAUUUUAACCUUCAUAAUCCAGAUAACAUUGUUUCAAAGGGCAUGCUGUGUCAUUAAAAAAAGACUUAAUGUGAAAUGACAUUAUUACAUAGUGCAUGAAUAUGUGGCAAAGUAAUUUGGAUCUAUCCUUACUAGUCAAUGAGAGAUUAAAUUUGGGGAGAUCAGAUGUGACUGUUUAGGCUAAUUCUCAACUGGGAUGAAGAUAUCUUAAUGUUAAGAUACAUGGGUGGUUGUCCAUAUUCCUUGCAGUAUAUGCUCCUCUUAACUAGAAUCCUUAGUGUAUUCUUUCCACCAAAGUAGUGGAGGUAUGUUCACAUAAUCUGCUAUUGAAGUGCAAAAACUUUUACACUUUCAGAGUUUGAAAGAACCCAAAUAGGAAAAUUGAUGGAAUCAUUUUCCUCUGCUGGUGUUCAAGUCAUAUUUGAAACUCAGACACUCUCAGAUCUGUUCAACAGUCAGUAAAAAGUGCAUUUUUACAUAGUGUUUCCCUUUAGUUUUGCCUACCCUCUUGAUUUUGUACAAUCUAGAAUGUAUGUAACUCAUGCGUAGGUGAUGGAGGCGCUUCUUUUUUUCUUAGAAUACUUAACAAUUAUAUAUUUGGUUUUGCUUUGACUAGCAAUAGGAAAAUAGAUAAAUACAAGUGUAAAAAUGAGAAAUUUUAAACUCAAAAUUAAUUUGUGUUUUAUAGUCGUUUCAUAAGUCUGUUGCUCUCUAUGAGUAUGCUCUCUAUAUAUCCUGUAAAAAUAAAUUUAUAUGUUACAUAGAAAUUCAAGAAAUUAAAUUAUUUAUUAAGCUACAAAUGUUUCUUCUGGUUUCUACCUGAUCAUAGAUGAAAAUAAAUUAAAAUGUGUUGUUGGAACAUAUGUAAGUAUGUUUGUUAAUUUGAUAACUCUUGUUAUACUUUUCCUUCCCUCUCUGUUUGUGUCUGUAUAAACUUAUAAUUCUUAGGCCUAAUUCCUAUUGUGAUUGCGAAAAAAAGAGUCUUAAGAAUGCCCAGUUGGCUGGAAAAAAAGAAAAUC